UGGUUGACCUCGGAUCAGGUAGGAAUACCCGCUGAACUUAAGCAUAUCAAUAAGCGGAGGAAAAGAAACCAACAGGGAUUGCCCUAGUAACGGCGAGUGAAGCGGCAACAGCUCAAAUUUGAAAUCUGGCCUUCGGGUCCGAGUUGUAAUUUGCAGAGGAUGCUUUUGGCGCGGUGCCUUCCGAGUUCCCUGGAACGGGACGCCUUAGAGGGUGAGAGCCCCGUACGGUUGGACACCAAGCCUCUGUAAAGCUCCUUCGACGAGUCGAGUAGUUUGGGAAUGCUGCUCUAAAUGGGAGGUAAAUUUCUUCUAAAGCUAAAUACCGGCCAGAGACCGAUAGCGCACAAGUAGAGUGAUCGAAAGAUGAAAAGCACUUUGAAAAGAGGGUUAAAUAGCACGUGAAAUUGUUGAAAGGGAAGCGUUUACGGCCAGACCUUUUCCUGGCGGAUCAUCUGGUGUUCUCACCAGUGCACUUCGCCAGGUUUAGGCCAGCAUCGGCUUCUGUAGGGGGAUAAAAGCAGUGGGAAAGUAGCUCCCUCGGGAGUGUUAUAGCCCUAAGCAUAAUACCC
rnacentral:rRNA from 1 species